rnacentral:rRNA from 1 species
GACGAACGCUGGCGGCGUGCUUAACACAUGCAAGUGGAGCGACGAACCAGGGCUUGCCCUGGGGCAGAGCCGCGAACGGGUGAGUAACACGUGGGUAACGUGCCCCGAUGACUGGGACAACCCGGGGAAACCCGGGCUAAUACCAGAUGUGCCCCCUCACAUCAGUGAGGUGUGUAAAGGAAGCUUCGGCCUCCGCAUCGGGAUCGGCCCGCGGCCCCUUAGCUUGUUGGUGAGGUAACGGCUCACCAAGGCUGCGAUGGGUAGCUGGUCUGAGAGGACGAUCAGCCACACUGGGACUGAGACACGGCCCAGACUCCUACGGGAGGCAGCAGUGGGGAAUCUUGCGCAAUGCGCGAAAGCGUGACGCAGCAACGCCGCGUGGGGGAAGACGGCCUUCGGGUUGUAAACCCCUUUCAGUUGGGACGAAGGUCGGGCGGUUAACAGCCGUUCCGGCUGACGGUACCUGCACAAGAAGCCCCGGCUAACUACGUG